rnacentral:RNase_P_RNA from 1 species
UAGGCUGGUCUGUCGCCUCAGCAAUGGGGAGGAAAGUCCGGGCAACGCAGGACACCAUAUUUCCUAACGGGAAGCCGCUCGCGAGGGUGGAGUAGCGUAACAGAGAAUAACCGCCUCUUAGGGAGGUAAGGGUGAAAAGGUGGGGUAAGAGCCCACCGGUAGGUUUGGCAACAAAUCUAGCCGUACGCCUUAUGGGUUGCAAGAUCAAGUAAACCGACGUCUGAGGGCUGUCCGUCCGAGUCGGAGGGUAGAUUGCUACAGGUGGCUGGUGACAGUCAUUGGAGAUAAAUGACAGACGUUUCGCAAUGCGGAAUACAGAACCCGGCUUAUAGGUCUGCUGC